CCCUACGGGGGGCAGCAGUGGGGAAUAUUGGGCAAUGGGCGAAAGCCUGACCCAGCGACUCCGCGUGGAGGAAGAAGCCUUAAGGGGUGUAAACUCCUUUUCUGGGGGAAGACGAAUGACGGUACCCCAGGAAUAAGCCACGGCUAACUACGUGCCAGCAGCCGCGGUAAUACGUAGGUGGCAAGCAUUAUCCGGAAUUACUGGGUGUAAAGAGUCCGUAGCCGGUUGUAUAAGUCUACUUUUAAAAGCUUUGGCUCAACCAAAGAGAGGGGGUAGAUACUGUAUAACUAGAGAUAGUUAGAGGUUAAUGGAAUUCUCGGUGGAGGGGUGAAAUCUGUUGAUAUCGGGAGGAAUGCCGAAAGCGAAAGCAGUUAACUAUAAUUAAUCUGACGGUGAUGGACGAAAGCAUAGGUAGCAAACAGGAUUAGAUACCCUGGUAGUCUAUGCCGUAAACUAUGCUCGCUAGGUGUUUUCACGAGAGUGGGAGUGCUGUAAGCAAACGCGUUAAGCGAGCCACCUGAGGAGUACAGUCGCAAGACUGAAACUCAAAGGGAUAGGCGGGGGAAUACACAAGCAGUGGAUUGUCUCGAUUAAUUGGAUAAUAAGCCAAGAAUCUUACCUAGGCUUGACAUCCUUAGGAUUUUAUAGAAAUAUAGAAGUGCCUAGAUUACUAGGAGCUAAGUGACAGGUGCUGCAUGGCCGUCGUCAGCUCGUGCCGCAAGGUGUCCGGUUAAGUCCGGGAACGAGCGCAACCCUCGUACUUAGUUAAGAUGUCUAAGUAGACUGCCUUCGCAAGAGGGAGGAAGGAGAGGAUGACGUCAGGUCAUUAUGGCCCUUAUGCCUAGGGCGUCAGAGACAAUACAAUGGUUGGUACAAUAUGAGGCGAUAUCGCGAGAUGGAGCAAAUCAUGAAAAACCAACCUUAGUGCGGAUUGUAGUCUGGAACUCGACUACAUGAAGUUGGAAUUGCUAGUAAUGGUGGAUCAGCCAUGCCACCGUGAAUAUGUCCCUGUUCCUUGCACUCACCGCCCGUCAUACCAUGGGAGCUGAGGCUCUUUGAAGCACUACAGAG
rnacentral:rRNA from 1 species